rnacentral:rRNA from 1 species
CUACAAGGGUUUCUAAUCCUGUUUGCUCCCCACGCUUUCGCACCUCAGCGUCAGUAUCGAGCCAGUGAGCCGCCUUCGCCACUGGUGUUCCUCCGAAUAUCUACGAAUUUCACCUCUACACUCGGAAUUCCACUCACCUCUCUCGAACUCAAGACCGCCAGUAUCAAGGGCAGUUCCGGGGUUGAGCCCCGGGAUUUCACCCCUGACUUAAUGGUCCGCCUACGUGCGCUUUACGCCCAGUAAUUCCGAACAACGCUAACCCCCUCCGUAUUACCGCGGCUGCUGGCAC